ensembl:lncRNA
UGGUAUACUAUAGAUCAUUUAUUAAAUGUUCCAUUUGACAUGCAUGUUGAAUAAUACAUUUACAUUUGAGUGAAAACUGAAGAAACAGACAUACGUCAGAAGUGCACAGUACCUUUAUUGGGAUGGUUUAUUCAGAAUGUAUCUGAUAAUCUGCCAUGAAAGCACUACACUACAGCAUGGCUUUAUAAGGAGAUAUCAACAAACAUCACUUGAAGCAUGGAACUGACGUGGCAUGCACCAUUAAAUCAAGCUGGAAUUAAGUUUAGCAUCGUCUUAAUAGUGGUGUACAACUUUAUAAAGACCUCAUUUGUGUCAUUGGCAUUCUCUUUGUAACAGACAGUUUUACACAUAUUUAUAAAACAAUGUAGCAGAGCAUCAGAAUAUUAAUAUUCAUCAUGUAACAACAUUCAACCAGAGUAAAUUGCCUCAGUCAUUAAGAAUGACACCAUAUAUUUAACCUUUAAAGGUAACAGAUAGAUAGUUGUAGAUAACCCUUAAACAUGUUAUAAUCUAAUUAAUCUCUAAUCUAAUCUAUAAAAUUACAGAUUAUAACAGAUGAUGAAAAAAAAGCCUCUUAAUAAUUCUUUCUAUGGUUGACAUCAUUUUACUAUACUAUAUAAGUAUCAAAUUGUUGUAAUUUAUGCAAGUUUAAUAAUUUAAAAGGAUCCUCUAUUCUAAAAAUGAGUGUUAAAGUGUUGAAUUAUUGCCUGUAUGUGAGAAGUAUACGUUUAUUUGUCUGAAUUUAAUAUAUUUACUAAAGUAUUAAAUAAAUAUAUGGUUAUGUUAGGGUAGGAGUUGGCAAACAGGUUUAAACCCUGAUCCAGAUAAUUUCUCUUCCAUGAUUUAACACAGUUUGUAGAUUAAAUACAUUUCCCUAAAAAACGAUGACCAUAUUCCUGUAACCUGGAUUUAGGUAUAACCUUGACCUAUAGGUUAGAGUAAACGUGUAUUCACCCUAGCGGCUUGAUACAAUCAAUGUCAUGUUUAUUUGAGGUAACACCCGUCCUAGAGCAUUUCACUGAACAUUAAAAGUGUUCACAUAGAAAAGCAAUAUAGGUCAAAUUAAUUAAUAUCGCGUUUAGAUGUAGAUAUACAUUCAUCAUCAUGGAAAAUAUUCUGGCAAAGGUAGAAAACCAAUACCUUUUUUAUAAACCUACAGGUACUAUAGCUCUAAAUCACCAAGUGCACCUUCAAAAUGUUCUACUUUGUGACUAAAACACUUGUUUUGAUUGAAACAUGCUAACUCAUCAGCAACAAAAGCAGUGUAAACUUUAAAUUGUCACAGCAACCAUAUCAAAACACAAAUUCCCAUUCAAGCAUGCAUUAAACCAAAGGAUAAGGUCAAGUCACUUGAAACAAAACAAGUACAUUUCCAGAGGAAGAGUAAAUAGAUAUGGGUUAGGGUUAGAAAUACCCCAAAUCAAACCCUAUAUCUAACCCUAACCCUAGUAAAUAGAUAUGGAGCCACGAGGCGGAACUCACAAACCAGUUUCACAAUAAAUUAAUCCUGGAUUCACUAAAACACGUCAAAACUAGCUCAAUACGUAAAAUCCAAAACACACUCACACUUCAACUAGACACGCAAACACACACACUACGUUAAUGAGCUUGACAUGCUCAUAACGUUCGGUUCAACUGAUAUGAGCCAUCGUUAGAUAGAUAGAUAAAUGGAAAGAUAGCAGAUAAGGAGAGAGACAGAGAUAGAGAGACAGAGAGAGACAGAGAGAGAGAGAGAGAGAGAGAGAGAGAGAGAGAGAGAGAGAGAGAGAGAGAGAGAGAGAGAGAGAGAGAGAGAAAGAAAGAAAGAAAGAAAGAAAGACAGAGAAAGAUUGAUGGAUAGAUACUAGAUAGAUAAAGAGGAAGUGAGAGAGACAGAGAGAUAAAAAGCUAGUUAAAUAGAUAAAGAAAGAGAGACAGAGGGAGAGAGAAAGAGAUAGGUUGAUAGAUAGAUAGAUAGAUAGAUAGAUAGAUAGAUAGAUAGAUAGAUAGAUAGAUAGAUAGAUAGAUCGAUAGAUCGAUAGAUCGAUAGAUAGAUAGAUAGAUAACUCGAGUGAUAGGUCAAGUUCUAGAUUGAUAGCUAGAUAGAUAGAUCAGUAGACUUUGCAGUAGUACUUGGUAGAGGGGUGCCCUAGUGGUACUCAGUAGUAGAAGUAGUAGUAGUUGUACUUGGGAGAGUGGUGCCUAGUACUGCUUGGUUUGAAGGUGUUGAUAAAAUGGGAAGACCUAGGAUGAGUGGAAGAACAGUGAGAGGAAGGACUAAAUGAAAGCAGCCAUUAGAAGUUUGAUUACUCUGGAACAAACCUGACGGUAAACACAUUUACCGUAAAAUGAACCAUUUCCAAACCUUUAUAUUCUGUGGUGCACAUGUGUAACAUUCUGUGGUGAACAUGUCUACUAUGUUGCGGUCUACAUGUGUAGUAUGUUGUGGUCUACAGGUGACACAUUUGUUGUACAGAUGGUGUAAUCUUCUGUCUUGUACUGGCAUGAUUGAUUGGUCAAUACUGAAGCUAACUCCCAACAACCGUCCAACCAGAGGCCGCAGAGCAGGUGGAGAGGGGCAGCCUCAUCAUUUGAUUGGUUAGUUUUGGUACUUCUUCCCAAAGACAACUGGCUUCAUCAACAUGCUGUCAGUCUCGGUCAGAUCCGUCGAAGCUCCUUGUGAAGAUCAGCUAACUGGAGGAGAAGGUACAAGAACAACAUGGUUCAACUCUUAGUAUGUUCGGGUUUAAACUCUAGGCGGGUGAUGGUUUCAAGUCAUGCACGGUUAGGGUCUCAGGACAGUUAGGGUUUAGGCCCAAUCCCAUUUCUACCCCUUACCCCUCCCCCCUUCCCCUUACCCCUUCAAAACAAGGGGAAGGGGUAAGGGGUAGAAAUGGG